UACGAAGGGGGCUAGCGUUGCUCGGAAUGACUGGGCGUAAAGGGCGCGUAGGCGGAUGGCACAGUCAGAUGUGAAAUUCCCGGGCUUAACCUGGGGGCUGCAUUUGAUACGUGUGAUCUAGAGUGAGGAAGAGGGUCGUGGAAUUCCCCAGUGUAGAGGUGAAAUGCGUAGAUAUCGGGAGGAACACCUGUGGCGAAAGGCGGCUCACUGGACCACAACUGACGCUGAGGCGGCGAAAGCUAGGGGAGCAAACAGG
rnacentral:rRNA from 1 species